UGGGGAAUAUUUGACAAUGGGCGAAAGCCUGAUCCAGCCAUGCCGCGUGUGUGAAGAAGGCCUUUUGGUUGUAAAGCACUUUAAGCGAGGAGGAGGCUACUUGGAUUAAUACUCUAGGAUAGUGGACGUUACUCGCAGAAUAAGCACCGGCUAACUCUGUGCCAGCAGCCGCGGUAAUACAGAGGGUGCGAGCGUUAAUCGGAUUUACUGGGCGUAAAGCGUGCGUAGGCGGCUUUUUAAGUCGGAUGUGAAAUCCCUGAGCUUAACUUAGGAAUUGCAUUCGAUACUGGGAAGCUAGAGUAUGGGAGAGGAUGGUAGAAUUCCAGGUGUAGCGGUGAAAUGCGUAGAGUUCUGGAGGAAUACCGAUGGCGAAGGCAGCCAUCUGGCCUAAUACUGACGCUGAGGUACGAAAGCAUGGGGAGCAAACAGG
rnacentral:rRNA from 1 species